rnacentral:lncRNA from 1 species
UAUUUGAAGGUGUUUAUUGGAGAACUUGGAUCUUAUGCAGAGGAUGAGAAGCUCAGAAUGCAGCUGUUCCAGAAAAGUCUGACUGGAAAACCCAUUCAUGGUAUACCAGAUUAGACAAUUCAAAGAUCCAUAGCUGGGAAGAGCUAGCACAUGUCUUCCUCACUCAAUAUAGCUUCCAGUCUCAAAUGGCUCCUGACCAGUAUCAGAUUACCAAGGUCAAGAAAUAGUCUAACAAGUCUUUUAGAGAGUAUGCUCAAAGGUGGAGGCGCAUGGCUGCUCAAGUUAUUCCUUCCAUGGCAGAAUCAGAAAUGGUCAUUACUUUCAUAGACGUACAAGAAGCUCCUUUCUAUAAAAGAGUUUUAGCCGUAAUCGAUAAGCCAUUUUCUAAAAUAGUCAAACAUAGGAGAUGGCUGAGAUGAGAUUGAAGUCCGGAAAAAUUCAAGACCUAGCUGCCCUUAAAGCUGUUGUCGAGCACAUCCAAUCCAGAAAUUAUGGAAAAAACUCCGGAGGGUCCAUAAAAGAAAGAGGAAGAAGUUUCACUGAUACUACAGGGUCAAAAAGGCAAUCAGAACAUGCCUAUCCAGAGGAGAAAUUACACUCCCUUUCAAGCACAGUCUUCAAACCGUCCAAUGCCAAAAGGUGGAGAAGUCAGACGCCCUCGAGUGUUCACACCCUUAGGGGACUCACUCGAGAAUAUUCUCACUCUUCUGACAACGCAGAAGAAAAUCACGCAUCUUCUUCCACUAGCCAGCCCUAAUGGACGGGGUUUCAAUGCUGCUCGGAAAUGUGUGUAUCAUGCCGGGGCACUUGGACAUGAUACUCAAGAUUGUUGGGCCUUGAAACAUAAAAUCCAAGACCUGAUAGACAUCGGGGAAAUCGUGGUCACCAAACCAGAUCAACCUCACGUUCAAGACAACCCUCUUCCUCAACACAAAGAGAAAUAAGUCAACAUGGUUAAUUGGAGCAAUGGACAUAGUUCCAAUUUCAACGGUGAGUCAUCUCAGACCACCAAAGACGGUGUUGACAAGUGAGAUUAUGCCAAGUUCUAGUUCGCAAUGGAACGUAAGAUGAAAGCUCUUUGCAAGCAAAUUGAGAAAUUGGCAUAACUGGUGAUCUAUCAGCAUCAAGUUACACGCCAGUUAGUCAGCCAGGAACAUGCUAGUCUCCUUCCUCUGGUAAUGAGUAUUCCAUCGUCACCUUUAGAAAAUGAAAUGAUGGAGGACAAAGUGACAAAGAUUGCAAAUGCCAAAGCUCAUCGAGAUUUUGCCAAUUAAAGGAAAUUUACAUACCUGGGCCAACCUAUGGAGGAAAUCCUUCAGAUGCUAAUCAACGAAGGAAGAAUCACUUCCAUUCUUCCUCCAAUUAAUCCCCGUUCAGGAUGGUAUAAUUCUGAUGGAGUAUGUUAAUAUCACUCUCAUUCUCGCGGUCACAGCACAGAAGAAUGCUGGGCACUCCGCCACCUUAUCUAGAAUCUAAUUGAUAGUGGUGUCCUGCAACUAGCAGAUGAUGAUAUCGUGCUACGGGAAAGUGAGAAUAAUUAUCCUACUAAGUGGGAGGGAUUGGUAACAGUUAUAUUCACUGAGGCCGAUGACACUGGCAAAACGCUCACUAUACUAGCAAUUCAACUCAGCGGAAGCAACAAUCCUUUGAAAGUGGCCGCUCCAGAGCCAAUCAACUUCCCAUGUAGAGAACAAUAUCCUAUUGUCAGCUUGCAUAAAGUUCCAUGGAAUUAUGGAGAAGGUGUAGGAUCCACCUCGCAUACAACUGCUACAGUGUCAAAGGAGAAUCCACUGUAUCUUCCCUAACGGGUGAUGAAGUCUACCAUCAAAUAAAAGGGGAAAAUACCCAUGGAUAAGAUUGAAAAAUUCUUCUACACUAUGGGUCAUAGCGAAGCCAAGGUGGUUUUAAGCUUAAGAGAAGCUCCAUAUCAAAUUUCAAUCCUGGACUUGGCUUUAACUUUCGAGGAUCACAGGAAAAUCUUGAUAAAGGUUUUGGAAGAAGCCUAUUUACCAACAUCGGUGGAUACAAAAAAUUUUCAACACGUGGUUGAUCACAUUUUUAACAAUUAUGUGAUAUCCUUCGCUGAUGAUGAUAUACCGCCCGAAGGGACCGGUCAUUGCAAGCCGUUACACAUUGUAGUCUUGUCCUCGGGAUACAUGCUAGCCGAAGUCUUGAUAGAUGGAGGCUCAUCCCUAAAUAUUUGUCAUUACGCUACAAUGUUGAAGAUUAAUGUCAAUCUCAACUGAAUCCGGAGCAGCCAUACGAUUAUAAAAGCUUUUGAUGGAGCCCGCCAGAAUUCGGUCAGAGUAAUUGAGUUGUCUAUUGAAAUUGGUUCCCAUACAUUCUGCAUAUCUUUCCACGUGCUCAAGAUAGAUUCAGGAUACAACCUGCUCUUGGGACGACCAUGGAUUCAUAUGGCAGGGUCAGUCCCCUCCACCCUUCAUCAAUAACUGAAAUACAUUAUUAACAAUAGCCUAGUCACGGUCAACGCUGAACCAGAGUGUCCUCAACAUGGGGACAUGCCAUUCAUCAAUGUUAAUGUAGAUGUUAAACCGAUCAAUUUUCAUGCCUUGGAAGUAAACAAUACCCAAUACCAUGCAAUUGGAACACCAUUUCCCGAACCCAAGAUUUUUACCGAGGUAAUGUCGGCUACUCAAGAAAUGAUGUUAUUGGGUCAUCAGCCGAGACAAGGGAUGGGUAAAGAUCACCAGGGUAUUAAGCACCCCAUUCGAGUAUACAGUUAAACUGGGACAGCUGGAGUAGGUUAUUCUGCCAGUUCUAGUCAUAGGAAUCCUCAUAAGCAUCAUCAGAUUCCUUCAGCUUCAGCAACAUAGCGAUUAUCUUCGCUUGAGAAUUCUGAGUCCGCACAACCUCCGGUAAAGGUGCCAGCUAAUGUAAUGGCAAUAUUAUUUCCCAAGUCGGUACCGGUAAAGAGGAAAUAAGUCUUUAUUCCAGAUCCCGCAGUGGAAAAGGAAGAACGAAGAAUCAAGAAAGACGUCAUCCGGAUGAUGUCAGGCAUACGCAUCAUCGUCAAUGAUGAACAUACCAACAUAUAUAUCCCAAACGAUGAUUGCACGGACAUAAUGGCCAUCAUUCAGGAGAAGGAUGACGAUGACAACCCCUCCAUCAUUGCAGUCCACCCGGACUUUGCCCUUGCCAAUUAGAGCAGCACUCAUUGCACUAGUCGACAAGGGUAAAACGGGCAGGAAAUCUUUAUGCCCUAUAGAUAUCAUAACUGCUUACUUUUUUAUACAGUAGCAGCAGUUUAUUUUGUCAGCAUAUGCGAACACUGUGUAUGAUCAAACUCUUUCAUAUAUACUAUGCGAACACGGUAAAUUAUUCAGGAUUAAGGAAAUACGUGAAUAUGAUUGUGUAUAUGUGUAUAGUAUAUGGUUAAGGGUCAAGAGUUGACCAGAUAAAGGAUAUAUGUAACAAACCCUAAGUAUAUAUUAAGAACGUCAACGUUCAGUUAGAAAAUUCUUACGGAUUGUAAGAAACCCUAGAAACCAGUUCUGGAAACCCUAAUUUCAGUUACGGUAAUCCGAAACCCUAAUCCGGAAAUUUAAAAUCCUAAUCUGGGAACUUAAAUGAUUAUUAUAUUGCUUCAGUGCUAUUAAUUAAUAUAUUAAUUAGGGUAAAGCUUAAUUAAUUAGCAAACCCUAAUUUCAAAUUUAAAAAACCCUAAUUUUUAAUUAGGGAAAACCUAAGUGUUAAUUUAAUAAUUGUAAUGUUAAUUAGGAAACCCUAAUCCUAAUUUCCAGUUAAGUAAUUAGAAAACCCUAAUCUAGUUACGAAAAUUUAAUUUCUAAAUUAGAAAAUUAUUUUUCUAUUAGAAACCCUAAUUAGUGGUUUAUAAACCCUAAUGACCAUUUUGACCCUAAUUGCUUAAUUAGCGAUUGUAAUUAGGAAAUGCUAAUCCUAAUUAGCAAGAUUUAAGUAAUGAUUAAGAAUUUUUAAUAUAAUUAGAAAAUUCUAAUUAUAAUUUAAAAAUAUUAAAUUUCUAUUUUUAAAAACUAAUUUUAAAAUUCUAGAAUUAUUUUUUUCAAACCCUAAACCCUAAAUUAAUUCAAACACUAACCCAAACCCUAACCCCUAAGGGUUUGGCCAUUUACUAGAAUGCCAUUAAAUUAAAAAGCCAAAAGUCCAAAAUACCCUUAUUGCAUAAUUGAAGGUUUCUUGCAAAUCUAGCCAAGAUUGAGUUGUCAAACUACUCCAUGACUCACCAAUUGACUGAAAUACUAUACUUAUCAGCCUAUACACUCAGCCAAGAUCAUUACAUACAACACUUAUAAGAUUAAAGAGAGAGAAAGAGUCACUUUAUUUUUAUUUCUCUCCAACACAUUCUCUCUCUAAAAUUCGGGAAGGUAGAGUGAGAAAGUGAGAUAUGAUAAGAAAUAAUCAGUCCAUAACUAUCAAAGAUCAGAUCCUCAAGGAUCAGAUUCAUGAAUCAAAGCCUAAGAGGUAAGAACCCUAAUUUCGAAAAUCUUUUGAUUUAAUGUUAAAAGUUGUAAUUUGUUGGCUAGAUAUGUGUAAUAGGAUGUCUAUAAGUAAUCUAGUUUGUAAAAUCCCAGAUCCAUAACAUCAAAGUCUUCGAAUCUAGCAUUUUGUAAAAUCUAGAAAUGUUGAAAAAAAUGGCCUGACAGUCUAAUGUCAGAGGCCUUAGAUAUUUACGUGUGAACUUUUUUGUGUGUUUUAUUUUUUAGAUCUAUUCUAUGUCAUGUAGGCUUUGAUCUGACACUAGAUACAUGGUCGGAUCAAGCCUAGAUCUCUUGAUAUGACCGGUCAAAGUCCGUUGAUCAUUCACGGAAACUGCUUUCCGGGCAGCCCAGAAAUUUCCAAAGACCCUGACAAGCAUGUUCAUAGCGUCUGAUCUCGUAUAUGUGUGAUAGUUAGGCCAAGUUAUUGUGUUUUUGUUGUAUCCUGACAUGAAUACUACAUGUUAAAGGCUUUAGAUCACCCAGAUCCAUAACCAAAACAAUUUUAUACCCGGUCAAACCAGGGUUGACCAUCACGACCGGAUGAAGAUUCUGGGUAACCCAGAUCUUCAUCAGCCGAUUUUUGAGGCAAGGUUUGACCACAUUUCAUUGUUCAUUGGAGUUGUGGUUAGACAGAUUUAAUGCUUCUAUAUUGUAGCCUGACAUGUAUACUAGAGAUGUAAACGCUUAGAUCACACAAACAAGCUCUAGAAUCAAAGUUACAGAGAAUCAAAAUUGGUACCCUGCAACUGUUCUUCAUUUCUGGAAAACCCAGAAAUGAAGAACAGCUUUGACAUGUUCUUCUGGAGCUUGGAUCUUGCAGAUUAGUUAUGUUUUGGCCAUGCAUAUUGAUUAAGCUUGUAGUGUGUCGGUAAUACUACAACAUCAGUGGAAAACCAAACCCAGAAAUCAUCAACUACGCUAUUUUAAUUGAGGUCAAACUAGGCAACCUGUUAGCAGCUUAUGAAUAUAUGGGUUGGCUGAAGAACACCUAUAGUGACAGUUUUGUCAAUAUAGGUACCUUUAGCGACAGAUAAAUUAGAAAAUGAUUAUUUUAAUUAAAUAAAUCGAAAUUAAUAGUUUUUAAUUAUUAAAAAUACUAAAUAAAUUCCGAAAAAAUAUUUUAAAUUCUGAAAAAUAGUUUUUAAUUAAUUGAAGUAUAUUUCAUAAAUAUUUAAUAUUUUUAGAAUAUAAUUGGUAUUUAAUUUAUUUAAUUAUAAUAUUAAAUAAAUUAUUUAAAAAUGAUUUUAAUACAUGAAAAAUAAUAUUAUGGUAUAAGAAAAUAUUUUAAGUUAUUUCCAAUAACUUUUGAUAUUUUGUGAUGAAAUUUAUUAAUAAAUUAAUAUUAAUGAUAAUUAGUUUAUUUAAUAAAUAUAUUAAAUAAAUUAAGGAAAAAUAGGAUUAAUGUUUUAUAAAUCAUAUAAAAAUGAUUUAUGUGUUAUAAAAAUAUUUUGAGUUAUAAAAUAUAACUUUUGAUAUUUUGUGAUGAAAAUAUUAAUAUUUUAAUAUUAAAAGCAAUUAUCGGAUAAUGGAUUUAAGUAUUUAAAAAUUAUAUAAAUGUGAUUUUUAAAGUAUUAAAAAUACUUGGAUAUAUUAUAAAUAUAUUAUAAUAUUAUGACAUGUAUGUCAUUAAUAUUUAAUAAUAAAUAAAUAUUAAUGAUAAAAGAAUUAUGUAGUAUUUAAUUCAUUUAAAUACGUGUUUAAUGAUUGAAAAUUCACGAUAAAUAGUAAUAAUUAUUUAAAAAUUAUUACGAAUUUACGAAAAAUAUUUUGACUAUUAUUAAAAUUAUCUGAGUUAAUUGUUAAGUGUUGGGCAGAGUUUAAUUGAACUUAAACUCGUGAAUUGUCCGACUAGACCGUCAGGAUGUCAAAUUUGUGUCAGUUUCAAGUCAGACUAAAAUUGUUUGACCUGAACUAAGUUUUAUAUGUGUUGUAGACUGAUAGAGUUAUGUGUUAUGUCACUACUACAAAAUAGUAAAUAGACAACGCGGAAAAAACGUUGUGGUUUUGUCAAAAAAACGUCGUGGUUAAGGGUGUUGUCUAUUUGACACCCUUACACGACGUUUUUAAAACAUUGUAGUUAGGCACAAUACACAACGUUUUUUAGAAAAAAAACGUUGUAGAUUUAUUUUCAAAAAAUUAGCAGAUGCUUAAAAACGUUGUAGAAAGUAUGAUUCCACAACGUUUUCUGACUAAAAAUGUUGUAGUUUAAUGUAUUAGACAACAUUUAGACACAUUUACACAACGUUUUUAAAAUAUUGUAGAUAAAACAAAAAAAGUUGUGGUUCUCCUACAUUACCAAUGCACCUUCAAUAUGCUAAUGCCAUGAUAUAUAGCUAAAAGGUCUAAAUUCUCAUUUAAAUUUAAAGCCAAAAUGCAUCAACCAUUCAAAAUACAUCCCAAUAACACCGUUCGUUUACAGUUUCAAAUUACUACAUCCACAAAAUUUAUACCAAACUAUCCAUAUAUACUUCUCAAAUUCACUUUUCAAUCCACAAAAUAAACCAAACUAUCAUUGCACGCAAAAAAGUACUUAAAUUGUUAUGUACAGUUUGUGCAUCAAAUAACUAAAAAGAGUUGAAUUCAUUCCUCAGCAUCAUAGAGAAAUUAUUAACAAGAUCAAAAUGAAUAGACAAAUAUAUAAAAGCUACCUUACAUUUAGUUAUCAUGUCAUUCUGUAGUAUUUUAUAGGAUAUAUGCACUUAGAUUGUCUAAAUAAUACAAACUUGGUUUUUAGUUAUAUGAAACCGAGACGGCAAGAAACUCUAAUAGAAGAGUAUAUGAUACCAUCGGGCUGUCUGAUAAAAGCUUUAACUUUCUCCCACUCAAAUUGUAUAUCCACUCCUAAAAUAAAAAUCAAAUACCGAGGAAAUUGCAAAUGACUAACAAUUACGUAGUGUACUAAAAGUUAUUAUCCAAAGAGCAGAAUAUUCAGAAAGAGAGAAAGAGAGAGAGAGACCAAUAUGAGUUUGUUUUUUCAACUGCAACUCAGCCGUUGCCCUCCCCAAAACUUCCAAAGGAGCUGCCAACUGAAUAUAAUAACACGAAUUAUGGGUAAAUCAUAAAUUGUUACAAAUCAUUAUGUUCUCUCUACCUCCCCUAUUCUCCUCGAGUUUAAAAUUAUACUUACGAAGGCUGACAAAAUUUUGGAAGAAAGUGCACAACGAAAUGUAAAAUUUUAAAAAUAAGAUGUGGACCAAGAUUUCAAAUAUUAUCUGAAGUUGUCUGUGUUUGUAUGCAUUUUUCAUCUAAUAAUCAAUUUGAGAAGAAAGUGAUAGUAAAGCAAUUAAAGAGCUUGUAUAUGAGUAUAUCCACAAACAGAAGUUGAAAAGUGAGUAUAAAUUCGAACCUUCAGCAUGAGAGCAUUUAUACUUGUAUUAGCUUCCACAUCGACAUGUUACCAUAAGAAUAGUCCCAGUUCCUUGUUCUUUAACUUUCCCUUCGGAAGUAUCCCUCUCCACGAUUACGGCUGUGAACUCCUUGGGACCAUUUAGUGUGUGUUCACUUAGACGAAUACCUGCCUCCUACCCAUAAUCCUCCUCCAAGCCUGGAACCUUAACAUAAGCAAGACUACAAAGCUGAGCAAGGCCAGGUGAUGAGGACACAGAAGAAUCAAGAGGUCGCAACUGACUAUAAGCAACAACUUCUUGAUUUCCAUAGUCGAUGUAAAACACUUCAAACUUGUCUAAUGGAGAUUCAACAACACCUCAAGGAGCAUUCACAAUCUUUACAUAUUGAAUAACAAAAAGAGUAGAAUAAGUAACACUGUUAAGAAAUGAAGAUAAUUAUAAUCAUUCAAAAAGAAAAACUGAAUGUUGCUUUGUGAAAAGUGUUGAGCUUUGUAUUAAAAGCACCCUCGCAUACAGUCAUGGGCUAAACUUCAAUUUCACUUACCCAUUCACGCACAAUGAAAAUGUUAAGAUUUAUAAAUACAGAAGCUUGCCUGAAAUAUUAAAUAAAGUAGACAAACAAUUACCAAAUGUCAAACAUUCAGUAGGUUUUUUGAAAAACUGUCUGAAAAGGUAGAUUGGCUCCCCAAGUGACUUCAAUUCCAAUGAGUUCAAGGCAUUGAAAAU